CCUACGGGAGGCAGCAGUGAGGAAUAUUGGUCAAUGGACGAGAGUCUGAACCAGCCAAGUAGCGUGAAGGAUGACUGCCCUAUGGGUUGUAAACUUCUUUUAUAUGGGAAUAAAAUGUUCCACGUGUGGGAUUUUGUAUGUACCAUAUGAAUAAGGAUCGGCUAACUCCGUGCCAGCAGCCGCGGUAAUACGGAGGAUCCGAGCGUUAUCCGGAUUUAUUGGGUUUAAAGGGAGCGUAGGUGGAUUGUUAAGUCAGUUGUGAAAGUUUGCGGCUCAACCGUAAAAUUGCAGUUGAAACUGGCAGUCUUGAGUACAGUAGAGGUGGGCGGAAUUCGUGGUGUAGCGGUGAAAUGCUUAGAUAUCACGAAGAACUCCGAUUGCGAAGGCAGUUCACUGGACUGCAACUGACACUGAGGCUCGAAAGUGUAGGUAUCAAACAGGAUUAGAUACCCCAGUAGUC
rnacentral:rRNA from 1 species